CGCCUUCAUGAAGCUGGAAUUGCUAGUAAUGGCAGGUCAGCAUACUGCCGUGAAUACGUUCCCGGGCCUUGUACACACCGCCCGUCACACCAUGAGAGUUGGGAAUACCCGAAGCCUGUGAGCUAACUUAUAGAGGCAGCAGUCGAAGGUAGAAUCAAUGAUUGGGGUGAAGUCGUAACAAGGUAAC
rnacentral:rRNA from 1 species